rnacentral:tRNA from 1 species
GCUUUAGUAGCUUAAAUCAAAGCAUCGGUUUUGUAAUCCGAAGAUCGGGGGUUAAAUUCCCCCCUACCGCC